rnacentral:rRNA from 1 species
AUUGAACGCUGGCGGCAGGCCUAACACAUGCAAGUCGAGCGCGCGGCGGACGGGUGAGUAAUGUAUGGGGACUGCCCGAUAGAGGGGGAUAACUACUGGAAACGGUGGCUAAUACCGCAUACUAUCGGAUAACCCAUAUGGGAUUAGCUAGUAGGUGGGGUAAAGGCUCACCUAGGCGACGAUCUCUAGCUGGUCUGAGAGGAUGAUCAGCCACACUGAGACUGGGACACGGCCCAGACUCCUACGGAGGCAGCAGUGGGGAAUAUUGCACAAUGGGGGCAAGCCUGAUGCAGCCAUGCCGCGUGUAUUAGGAAGGCCUUAGGGUUGUCAAGUACGUUCAGCGGGGAGGCGUUACCCGCAGAAGAAGCACCGGCUAACGACGUGCCAGCAGCCGCGGUAAUUC